GAUGAGAACGCAGCGAAAUGCGAUAAGUAAUGUGAAUUGCAGAAUUCAGUGAAUCAUCGAAUCUUUGAACGCAUCUUGCGCCCCUUGGUAUUCUGAGGAGCAUGCCUGUUUGAGUGUCAUUAAAUUCUCAACUACACUGACUUUGAAUUGGUGUGGCUUGGAUUUGGGGGGAAAAUUGUUGUGGGCUUUUUGUAUAGUCUGCUCCCCUGAAAUUGAUUAGCGGUACCUUUGUGGAACUGUCUACAGGUGUGAUAAUUAUCUACAUCUUAGACAUCUGCUGGAAUGCUGCUUUCUAAACCUUACUUGUAUUGACAAUCUUGACCUCAAAUCAGGUAGGACUACCCGCUGAACUUAAGCAUAUCAAUAAGCGGAGGA
rnacentral:misc_RNA from 1 species